CUCACCUGAAUUCUGAUUUUCAGGACAAUCUUUCUUAAAAUGUUCCACAGAACCACAAAGUCUACAACCACCACCUGUUGAAGUUCUCACCUUCAGCAUAAAGUCCUUUAGGAUUAUCAGGACAAGAUCUAGAUAGAUGUCCCAUCUCUCCACAAAUGAAACAUUUUGCAAAAGGAAAUUCUCCUGUAAAGCCUUGCACACCCUUGUCCUGGGAGUUCAUCAUAUUGGUA